rnacentral:misc_RNA from 1 species
GAUGAAGAACGUAGCGAAAUGCGAUAAGUAAUGUGAAUUGCAGAAUUCAGUGAAUCAUCGAAUCUUUGAACGCACAUUGCGCCCGCCAGUAUUCUGGCGGGCAUGCCUGUUCGAGCGUCAUUUCAACCAUCAAGCCCCAGGCUUGUGUUGGGGACCUGCGGCUGCCGCAGGCCCUGAAAACCAGUGGCGGGCUCGCUGUCACACCGGGCGUAGUAGAUUUUAUCUCGCUCAGGGCGUGCUGCGGGUUCCGGCCGUUAAAAAGCCUUUUUUACCCAAGGUUGACCUCGGAUCAGGUAGGAAGACCCGCUGAACUUAAGCUUAUCAAUAAGCGGAGGA